AUUGAACGCUGGCGGCAUGCCUUACACAUGCAAGUCGAACGGUAACGGGCCUUCGGGUGCCGCCGAGUGGCGCACGGGUGAGUAAUACAUCGGAACGUGCCCGAUCGUGGGGGGUAACGAGGCGAAAGCUUUGCUAAUACCGCAUACGAUCUACGGAUGAAAGCAGGGGACCGCAAGGCCUUGCGCGGACGGAGCGGCCGAUGGCAGAUUAGGUAGUUGGUGGGAUAAAAGCUUACCAAGCCGACGAUCGGUAGCUGGUCUGAGAGGAUGAUCAGCCACACUGGGAGUGAGACACGGCCCAGACUCCUACGGGAGGCAGCAGUGGGGAAUGUUGGACAAAGGGCGCAAGACUGAUCCAGCCAUGCCGCGUGCAGGAUGAAGGCCUUCGGGUUGUAAACUGCUUUUGUACGGAACGAAAAGCCUUCUUUUAAUACAGGAGGGUCAUGACGGUACCGUAAGAAUAAGCACCGGCUAACUACGUG
rnacentral:rRNA from 1 species